CAGUCGCCACGGUAAUACGUAGGGGGCAAGCGUUAUCCGGAAUAACUGGGCGUAAAGGGUGCGCAGGUGGUUUAACAAGUUAGUGGUGAAAGGCAUAGGCUCAACCAAUGUAAGCCAUUAAAACUGUUUAACUUGAGUGCAGGAGAGGAAAGUGGAAUUCCUAGUGUAGCGGUGAAAUGCGUAGAUAUUAGGAAGAACACCAGUGGCGAAGGCGACUUACUGGACGAAAACUGACGCUGAGGCGCGAAAGCCAGGGGAGCGAACGGGAUUAGAUACCCCGGUAGUCCCUGUCUCUUAUACC
rnacentral:rRNA from 1 species